rnacentral:lncRNA from 1 species
GCACAAGCACCGUCCAUCCCUCCUAGAUCCAACGGUAGGCACACUCUCCCCUCUCUUUCUUCUCUCUUCAUCCACCCGUGAUCCUCCCCUGAGCCGCCUACUGUUCGAUCCCAAAACUAAUCCCCCGAUUUCGGAUCGAGGCACCAUAGAUCUCAGCUGCUUCCCCACGCGCCUCUCACCAGAUCCAUGCCGACAUGCCCAUCCUCUCCUCCCCGUCCAUCUGCUCGUGGAUCUUGUCGCCGGGGUAUCCUUCCCGGAUCUGUUCGCAAGUCCCCAGCCUCAACCAGGGACGCCAACCACCACCACCACCCCUCUCACGUCGUCGUCCCUCGCCGGUCACGCUGUGGUAGGGACUGCUGCUUCCCCUCCGUCGCACACUCAUAGAGGCGACAAGGAAGCGAAUUGCCCUCCUCGCGGGCUGGACGCUGCUGCCACUGUGCAAUGUACGGCUGCAGGCGUUCACCUCCUAGUCCAUCGUCUGCCACACCUUAUUCUCCACCAAGGUUAGCUACCCGCUCGACCCAGAUCAAAUUAACUCCAUCCCUGAUCCUCCUCGACCCGCCUCUCGUGAUUUGGUCUGAAACCCCCGAUGCGUACGUGCAUGCAGGAAGUGUUGGAGAGCCACCACGCCAUCUUCGCUGUUAGCACCUCCAUCGCCUCCCUCCUAACGGCGUGGCCGGUACAGCCCUGUUCCCCGGCUCUCCCUGCAGUUCGUGAAUUCGGGAUGUUGUCUUUGGGUUCUGACUGUGUUGUUGACUCGUCUGAUUGAUUAACUUCUUGUCUUCAAUCGCUGAUGCAGUGCACAACUACUUGCUGCUGAACCUUGUUAAUGUGUUCUAAGGGACGGAGACGGGGAGAGAUGUAGUUGUACAACUACUUGCUGGUGAACCUUGUUAGUGUGUUCGUCCGAUUGAUUAACUUUAGGGCACACCUCAAUUGGAAGUCCACACUGCACUAUAGCAAUAUUGUUUUGGAAUGCCCCAUUUAUGGUGAUGACUGAAUGCGUAUUUGGAUAUAGUUAAAUUAUAGUUUGAUCUGGUUCGUUCUGCUGUCUUGGGAUCUAACGCAGAGGCGUAUCUCAGGUGUUGCACCUGCCAGCGUUUUAGGGGUCUUUGUAAUCCACUUAUGUGAACAGUUUCAUGCCACCUGAACUAGGCCAGCCCACCGCACCUGCCAGCGUUUCAGGGGUCUUUGUAAUCCACUUAUGUGAACAGUUUCAUGCCACCUGAACUAUGCCAGCCCACCACACCCGGUGGUGAAACAUGCCAACAGCAAUAAUUUCAUGUUCGAGUCUCACGUUAUGGACCAUAGUAAAUGCAUUGUAUUCAUCUUUCCAGCUACUGCAGAAAUUUUUGUGUAUUUAAAUUGUGUCUUACAAUUAUUCAUCAUGUUAUUUAAAAAUAUUCGUCGCGUAAUUUGUAAAUUUUCAUUGUAUUUUUCAAAAAAAACAUUUAUCACGUAUUUAAAAAUUGCUCACUGUUCUUAAAUUGUAUGUCAUGUAUUAAAAUGUACAUCUCAUGUUAAAGAACAUCGUGUAUUAAAAAAUAUCAAUUGUUUGAAGUGCACUUAAAAAUGUUCAUCGUGUGAUUCAAAAAGGUUAUCGUGUUUGAAAACAAUAGCGAGCACACCUGCACAUGGCACCUUUGUAUAUCAAAUAGAUUAAUCGCAUAUAACAAAGAAAGACACAGGCGCACCCAUAGCAAAGGCCAGACAGUGGGUUGUGAUUCUGAGAUCAUGUAGCUCGGCCUCCAAAAUGUCUUUCUCUUCUACUGUAGCUAUUUUAUGAUCCUUAUUGUUUUUCAUCCUUACUGCCUCUGAUACAUGCAUCAUAAAAACACAUUGUAUUGCAAGCUGUUGGUGCCUACUCCUGAUCCUUACUGUUUUUCAUUUGUACGCUAAAUGAGGCAAUUGGUAUCAGAUUAGUUUGUGGGUGUCAUUUGAGGUUCGAGUAAAUGUCUUGGCAGUGUGCCAACUUCUAGGCAGUAGCAAAAUUAAUAGAGAGUGUUUCCUUUUUUCAGAUGACUGCCUCAAGAAUAUUAUAAAUGUGCAGUACCAAGACAGUUAUGCCAUAAACCUGUCAACUAUAAGAUAUAAACAAGUUGUUUAAAAAAUCAAAUCAAUUAUUAGAUUGUUAUUUUUAGUUUAUUCUGCUUGGAAGUGUCCAGUAUGUGUUCCCUGAUGGCAAUAUGAAAAUAUGCUAUAUUUGGUCCUGUAGGUAUUUUCCAUGUACGAGUAUAUACUUUGCUGCAUAUAUGUGCUUGGUUCAGUGAUAUUCAUACAUGAUACAUGCAGAUUGUACAUUCUGAAUAUUUUCUUCGGAUGUUUUUUUCUGUGCUAGAAUGUGAUAAUUAAGACCAUACAUGUGGAUUAUAACUUCCGUCUAUUUGAGCAUCUCCUUCAGGGUAGGUGAUACUUAGAAAAGGGAGGAAAGAACACCUUACCUAUUGACAUGUUAGUAUAUUAUUCACUUACUAGGAGGGACCGUAAGUAUACAGUAGCUUUUCCAUAUCACUGUAGAAAAAAGAUCAUUUGUAGAGGAGAUUUGGAAUAAGGAAAUAAUUAACCAGAAGGAUGGAUACAUUCUUAUGUACUCCAUCCGAUCCUAAAUAUAAGUCUUUUAAGCGAUUUCACUAGGUGUCUACAUACGAAGCAAAAUGAUUGAAUGUACACUCUAAAGUAUGUCUAUAUACAUCCGUAUGUAGUCCACUAGUGAAAUCUCUACAAAGACUUAUAUUUAGGAACGGAGGGAGUAGUGUAUAAAUAUUUGUAAGGUGUUUCCACAGAAUUUGUGGUUCCUUUUCAUUUGUGAAUAACCAUAAUAUGCCAUUGUGAGAAAGUAAAUGGUAAAUCACAAAACUGUUCGUAGACAUACUUUAGUGAACAAAUUCUAACGUAAUUUUAUUUUUGUGCUUGACACAACCAUAUCUGUGUUUCACUACAUAUCAGUUAUGUCGCCCUAACUUUAGUAAAAAUACUUAUAUGCAACUCUUUUAUGUGUACACUACUCUGUUUAAAUUAUGAUCACUAGUGAUGAUUAUAAUUUGGUGUUAUUGGAUUCUAAAGGACCAUUUUUUGUAGGCUACUGGUAUGUUGUUGCAUCGCAAAUCUGGAUGACCAUGUUCCCCUAUGAUAUUUGGAUACUAUAAAAAUUGCCAUCGAGGUGACCAGAGUUGAGUCGUGCACUAUGGAAGAUGGGUUGUGGUGGACCUGCAACAAGCAUCAUAGUGUUGGAGCGGACGAGCGGCCAUGUCUGGGGGUGUUUGGGGCUUGCUUGUAAUUUCUUUUUAUCUUUACAGGGAUCCAUUUGGCUUAUGUUCCUGGUUGUAAUGUUUGUUUCUGUAAUUUGUCUUCUAUUAGAUAUUAACAGAAAUGUUAAAGAAUGCAUCGUAUCAAAAUGUGUUACUUACACAAAAUAGUGGCCUACUUUUUUUUAGCAAAAAAUAGUGGUCUACUGGUACGUAUUAAACCGUAUGGGCAAAAGGUGUACGGGUCCUAAUGGAGUGUAAACAUAACUAGGCUUAACACAAGAUGGCCAAUAAUUGAAUUUAAUGGGCUGAAAUCCUUAUUGGCCCAUUAAUA